rnacentral:lncRNA from 1 species
ACCAGCACCAGAGUGACAUCUCUAUUAGCCACGUCGCCUACUGAUCCAAAGUCCUCUAAUCAAAUCAGAUCCGAUCUGAGAACUUCGUAUCUCUUUUUAAAUUUAAGUGACCUCCAUAUGCAGCUAGCCAUGAAGCAGAUAAGGCAGUCAUAACUACUAUAUUCCAAGAAUUCUGACUCCAAAUUUUGCCACGUCGCAUCCGAACCAG